UGGAGUCGUCCUUGAAAUACCACCCUUGUAGUUUUGAUGUUCUAACGUUGGUCCCUGAAUCGGGAUUACGGACAGUGCCUGGUGGGUAGUUUGACUGGGGCGGUCUCCUCCCAAAGAGUAACGGAGGAGCACGAAGGUGGGCUAAACACGGUUGGACAUCGUGUGGUUAGUGCAAUGGCAUAAGCCCGCUUGACUGCGAGAAUGACAAUUCGAGCAGGUGCGCAAGCAGGUCAUAGUGAUCCGGUGGUUCUGAAUGGAAGGGCCAUCGCUCAACGGAUAAAAGGUACUCCGGGGAUAACAGGCUGAUACCGCCCAAGAGUUCAUAUCGACGGCGGUGUUUGGCACCUCGAUGUCGGCUCAUCACAUCCUGGGGCUGAAGUCGGUCCCAAGGGUAUGGCUGUUCGCCAUUUAAAGUGGUACGCGAGCUGGGUUUAGAACGUCGUGAGACAGUUCGGUC
rnacentral:rRNA from 1 species